rnacentral:rRNA from 1 species
UACGUAGGGUGCAAGCGUUAAUCGGAAUUACUGGGCGUAAAGCGUGCGCAGGCGGUUUUUUAAGUCUGACGUGAAAUCCCCGGGCUCAACCUGGGAAUUGCGUUGGAGACUGCAAGGCUAGAAACUGGCAGAGGGGGGUAGAAUUCCACGUGUAGCAGUGAAAUGCGUAGAGAUGUGAAGGAACACCGAUGGCGAAGGCAGCCCCCUGGGUAAAGAUUGACGCUCAGGAACGAAAGCGUGGGGAGCAAACAGG